rnacentral:rRNA from 1 species
AAGGCCCCUUAAGCGUACGCUAAGUGGGAAAGGAUGUGGAGUCGCAGAGACAACCAGGAGGUUGGCUUAGAAGCAGCCACCCUUGAAAGAGUGCGUAAUAGCUCACUGGUCAAGUGAUUCCGCGCCGACAAUGUAGCGGGGCUCAAGCGUACCGCCGAAGUCGUGUCAUUCACACAUAUAYNCCCCAACGNGGDGUUKGGAUGGGUAGGGGAGCGUCGUGUGCCGGGUGAAGCAGCCGCGGAAGCGAGUUGUGGACGGUUCACGAGUGAGAAUGCAGGCAUGAGUAGCGAUACACACGUGAGAAACGUGUGCGCCGAUUGACUAAGGGUUCCUGGGUCAAGCUGAUCUGCCCAGGGUAAGUCGGGACCUAAGGCGAGGCCGACAGGCGUAGUCGAUGGACAACCGGUUGAUAUUCCGGUACCCGCUUUGAAACGCCCAAUACUGAAUCAGGCGAUGCUAAGUCCGUGAAGCCGGCCCGAUCUCUUCGGAGUUGAGGGUAGUGGUGGAGCCGACGAACCAGACUUGUACUAGGUAAGCGAUGGGGUGACGCAGGAAGGUAGUCCAGCCCGGGCGGUGGUUGUCCCGGGGUAAGGGUGUAGGACGCACGGUAGGCAAAUCCGUCGUGCAURKAAGUCUGAGACCUGAUGCCGAGCCGAUUGUGGUGAAGUGGAUGAUCCUAUGCUGUCGAGAAAAGCCUCUAGCGAGUUUCAUGGCGGCCCGUACCCUAAACCGACUCAGGUAGUCAGGUAGAGAAUACCGAGGCGUUCGGGUGAACUAUGGUUAAGGAACUCGGCAAAAUGCCCCCGUAACUUCGGGAGAAGGGGGGCCAUCACUGGUGAUCCGAUUUACUCGGUGAGCUGGGGGUGGCCGCAGAGACCAGCGAGAAGCGACUGUUUACUAAAAACACAGGUCCGUGCGAAGCCGUAAGGCGAUGUAUACGGACUGACGCCUGCCCGGUGCUGGAACGUUAAGGGGAACCGGUUAGCUGACUUUCGGGUGG